GAUGAACGCUGGCGGCGUGCCUAACACAUGCAAGUCGAGCGAAGCGGGGGUGGGUGUGUAACACGUGGAUAACAUCCUAUAAGACUGGGAUAAAUUAGGGGAAACGGCGCUAAACCGGCUCCUUCUAGCAGGAGCCGCGCGGCAUUAGCUAGUUGGUAAGGUAACGGCUUACCAAGGCAACGAUGGAUAGCCGACCUGAGAGGUAGAUCGUCCACACAGGAACUGAGACACGGUCCAGACUCCUACGGGAGGCAGCAGUAGGGAAUCUUCCACAAUGGGCGAAAGCCUGACGGAGCCACGCCGCGUGAGUGAUGAAGGUCUGCGGAUCGUAAAACUCUGUUAGCAGGGAAGCGGUACCUAAUCAGAAAGCCACGGCUAACUACGUGCCAGCAGGCGCGGUAAUUC
rnacentral:rRNA from 1 species